rnacentral:rRNA from 1 species
UACAUGGGGUGCAAACGUUGCUCGGAAUCACUGGGCGUAAAGCGCACGUAGGCGGCUUACUAAGUCAGGGGUGAAAUCCUGGGAGCUCAACUCCAGAACUCUUCUUGAUACUGGUGAGCUUGAGUCCGGAAGAGGUGAGUGGAACUGCGAGUGUAGAGGUGAAAUUCGUAGAUAUUCGCAAGAACACCAGUGGCGAAGGCGGCUCACUGGUCCGGUACUGACGCUGAGGUGCGAAAGCGUGGGGAGCAAACGGG